rnacentral:rRNA from 1 species
CCUACGGGUGGCAGCAGUUAGGAAUUUUGCGCAAUGGGGGAAACCCUGACGCAGCAACGCCGCGUGGAGGAUGAAGGCCUUCGGGUUGUAAACUCCUUUUAGCAGGGAGACGGUAUCUGCAGAAAAAGCACCGGCUAACUCUGUGCCAGCAGCCGCGGUAAUACAGAGGGUGCAAGCGUUAUUCGGAAUCACUGGGCGUAAAGAGCUCGUAGGCGGUUAAUUAAGUCAUAUGUGAAAGCCCUGGGCUCAAUCCAGGAAGUGCAUCUGAUACUGAUUAACUGGAGUGCAGGAGAGGAAAGCGGAAUUCCAGGUGUAGAGGUGAAAUUCGUAGAUAUCUGGAGGAACAACAGAAGCGAAGGCGGCUUUCUGGACUGUACUGACGCUGAGGAGCGAAAGCGUGGGGAGCAAACAGGAUUAGAUACCCUUGUAGUC